AAAAAUUUAAAGCUGUACACCAAUCAGCAUUUGUGGAAAUAGUGUGCACACUUUUUUCCCAGAAUCUUCACUUCUAUUCUGGUAGUAAACAGCGCAGAUAUUGACGAGAAUAGUCAAUGUCUGUCCAACUUGGCUUUUUCACUUCAUCUUUUGCAUUCAGCUUUAUCUUCUUGUCGAGUAGACAGUUCAUUAUAAAUGUUGUUCCUUCCUUAAUUAUUUGUAAUCCUAAUUCACCAUAACUAAGUGAAUUUAUUCAAAAUCAAAAUUACAAUUUCACAUUUUCUAUGUGAGAUCUUAUUUUUGAAGCUUCGUUAGACAAGAAAUUUCAUACAUCCAGGUACAGUCCAUCGUAUUUAAGUGCAAUGUGGUGCACACAGAUGCAAGACAGUCCAAUGAGAAAUAACAUUUCUUGAUUUGAGACAGUUGAAUGUUUGCUUCUUAUACUGAAGACACAAACAAUGCAUCACAAGUGAGUUUACUUACAAAAUUAAAGGAGAAAUACCGCCUUGAAAUCCAUAUACUGUAAUUCUUACAACUUUUAAAAGGUGACAAUAAUUAUGCCCAGUCUAUUUUUUAUUCAUGUGUGGAAUUACUUUAAACAAAAGAAAUAAAUAUGUGAAUACCA